GUUGAUUUAUUAACACUUUGUAUAUUUCUAACUGUGUAUCCAUAUAUGCGUUCAGAGCGAAAAGACUUAGCACAAUUUGAGAAAAUGCAGCAUGCAAUAUCAAAAAUUCAAAAAGAUGGUGUAAUUUGGCUCCAUGAUAAUGUUAUUAAAAUAUAUCGACCAUCGCCUACUGAUUUUGUUCAUGCAUUGCAUAAAAUAUUGUUGAUGGAGUCUCCUGAUC